rnacentral:tRNA from 1 species
UAAAUUUUAGUUUAAAAAAAAUUUAAUAAUUACAAUAUUAAGAUAUAACCAAUAUAAAUUUAA